rnacentral:rRNA from 1 species
GACGAACGCUGGCGGCGUGCCUAAUACAUGCAAGUAGAACGCUGAAGGAAGGAGCUUGCUCUUUCCGGAUGAGUUGCGAACGGGUGAGUAACGCGUAGGUAACCUGCCUGGUAGUGGGGGAUAACUAUUGGAAACGAUAGCUAAUACCGCAUAAUAGUAGAUGUUGCAUGACAUUUGCUUAAAAGGUGCAAUUGCAUCACUACCAGAUGGACCUGCGUUGUAUUAGCUAGUUGGUGAGGUAACGGCUCACCAAGGCAACGAUACAUAGCCGACCUGAGAGGGUGAUCGGCCACACUGGGACUGAGACACGGCCCAGACUCCUACGGGAGGCAGCAGUAGGGAAUCUUCGGCAAUGGACGGAAGUCUGACCGAGCAACGCCGCGUGAGUGAAGAAGGUUUUCGGAUCGUAAAGCUCUGUUGUAAGAGAAGAACGAGUGUGAGAGUGGAAAGUUCACACUGUGACGGUAUCUUACCAGAAAGGGACGGCUAACUACGUGCCAGCAGCCGCGGUAAUACGUAGGUCCCGAGCGUUGUCCGGAUUUAUUGGGCGUAAAGCGAGCGCAGGCGGUUAGAUAAGUCUGAAGUUAAAGGCUGUGGCUUAACCAUAGUACGCUUUGGAAACUGUUUAACUUGAGUGCAAGAGGGGAGAGUGGAAUUCCAUGUGUAGCGGUGAAAUGCGUAGAUAUAUGGAGGAACACCGGUGGCGAAAGCGGCUCUCUGGCUUGUAACUGACGCUGAGGCUCGAAAGCGUGGGGAGCAAACAGG